rnacentral:lncRNA from 1 species
AGGUAACAUUCGGAGAAAUGAGGACUGACUAGAGGUUAUUACAAUGGGAACAUAUCCGUGGUAAUUCGUGAAAUAGGUACUCCGUAACGGUCAACCAACUCGUGAUGGCGUCCGUAAAAAUUACGAAAGUAUGAGUUCAACUUUUCCACUUUGAACACCUGGUUUCAUCAGAGCUUAUUUGUUAACAGCAACCCAUUAUCACGAAAAUAAUUAUAAGAAAUGCAAGCCCUGAAAUAUCGUAUUAACUGAGAGAUAUAUACAUUUUAUUUCUCCAUAUGCAGGCCUAGGCGCUGCUGGAAUGUGUGUUUAAAGUGUUCUUGUCAUUAAGUUUUUUAAAAGUCAACACGGAGCAGUUGUUACUUAAUAAGAACAUUGGUUAAAGUUUUCAC